UACGUAGGGGGCGAGCGUUGUCCGGAUUUAUUGGGCGUAAAGCGCACGCAGGCGGUCUUUUACGUUUUGAGUGACAGGUGGUGGCUCAACCACCACAGGCCUUGAAAUACGGGAAGACUUGAGGACGAGAGAGGGAUGCGGAAUUCCAGGUGGAGCGGUGAAAUGCGUAGAGAUCUGGAAGAACACCAAAGGCGAAGGCAGCAUUCUGGCUCGGAACUGACGCUGAUGUGCGAAAGCUAGGGGAGCGAACGGG
rnacentral:rRNA from 1 species